AGCGUACACGGUGGAUGCCCUGGCAGUCAGAGGCGAUGAAGGACGUGCUAAUCUGCGAAAAGCGCCGGCGAGGUGAUAUGAACCUUUGACCCGGCGAUGUCCGAAUGGGGAAACCCAGUGCAAUCCGUUGCACUAUCGUUAACUGAAUACAUAGGUUAACGAGGCGAACCGGGGGAACUGAAACAUCUAAGUACCCCGAGGAAAAGAAAUCAACCGAGAUUCCCCCAGUAGCGGCGAGCGAACGGGGAGCAGCCCGGAGUCUGAAUCAGCUUGUGUGUUAGUGGAACGGUCUGGAAAGUCCGACGGUACAGGGUGAUAGUCCCGUACACGAAAGCACACAUGCUGUGAACUCGAAGAGUAGGGCGGGACACGUGGUAUCCUGUCUGAAUAUGGGGGGACCAUCCUCCAAGGCUAAAUACUCCUGACUGACCGAUAGUGAACCAGUACCGUGAGGGAAAGGCGAAAAGAACCCCGGCGAGGGGAGUGAAAAAGAACCUGAAACCGUGUACGUACAAGCAGUGGGAGCCUCUUUAUGGGGUGACUGCGUACCUUUUGUAUAAUGGGUCAGCGACUUAUAUUCUGUAGCAAGGUUAACCGUAUAGGGGAGCCGAAGGGAAACCGAGUCUUAACUGGGCGUUAAGUUGCAGGGUAUAGACCCGAAACCCGGUGAUCUAGCCAUGGGCAGGUUGAAGGUUGGGUAACACUAACUGGAGGACCGAACCGACUAAUGUUGAAAAAUUAGCGGAUGACCUGUGGCUGGGGGUGAAAGGCCAAUCAAACCGGGAGAUAGCUGGUUCUCCCCGAAAGCUAUUUAGGUAGCGCCUCGUGAACUCAUCUUCGGGGGUAGAGCACUGUUUCGGCUAGGGGGCCAUCCCGGCUUACCAACCCGAUGCAAACUACGAAUACCGAAGAAUGUUAUCACGGGAGACACACGGCGGGUGCUAACGUCCGUCGUGAAGAGGGAAACAACCCAGACCGCCAGCUAAGGUCCCAAAGUCAUGGUUAAGUGGGAAACGAUGUGGGAAGGCACAGACAGCCAGGAUGUUGGCUUAGAAGCAGCCAUCAUUUAAAGAAAGCGUAAUAGCUCACUGGUCGAGUCGGCCUGCGCGGAAGAUGUAACGGGGCUAAACCAUGCACCGAAGCUGCGGCAGCGACACUAUGUGUUGUUGGGUAGGGGAGCGUUCUGUAAGCCGUUGAAGGUGUCCUGUGAGGGGUGCUGGAGGUAUCAGAAGUGCGAAUGCUGACAUAAGUAACGAUAAAGCGGGUGAAAAGCCCGCUCGCCGGAAGACCAAGGGUUCCUGUCCAACGUUAAUCGGGGCAGGGUGAGUCGACCCCUAAGGCGAGGCCGAAAGGCGUAGUCGAUGGGAAACAGGUUAAUAUUCCUGUACUUGGUGUUACUGCGAAGGGGGGACGGAGAAGGCUAUGUCAGCCGGGCGACGGUUGUCCCGGUUUAAGCAUGUAGGCGGAGGUUCCAGGUAAAUCCGGUACCUUAUUAACGCUGAGGUGUGAUGACGAGGCACUACGGUGCUGAAGUGAUAAAUGCCCUGCUUCCAGGAAAAGCCUCUAAGCAUCAGGUAACACGAAAUCGUACCCCAAACCGACACAGGUGGUCAGGUAGAGAAUACCAAGGCGCUUGAGAGAACUCGGGUGAAGGAACUAGGCAAAAUGGUGCCGUAACUUCGGGAGAAGGCACGCUGAUAUGUAGGUGAAGUCCCUGCGGACGGAGCUGAAAUCAGUCGAAGAUACCAGCUGGCUGCAACUGUUUAUUAAAAACACAGCACUGUGCAAACACGAAAGUGGACGUAUACGGUGUGACGCCUGCCCGGUGCCGGAAGGUUAAUUGAUGGGGUUAGCGGCAACGCGAAGCUCUUGAUCGAAGCCCCGGUAAACGGCGGCCGUAACUAUAACGGUCCUAAGGUAGCGAAAUUCCUUGUCGGGUAAGUUCCGACCUGCACGAAUGGCGUAAUGAUGGCCAGGCUGUCUCCACCCGAGACUCAGUGAAAUUGAACUCGCUGUGAAGAUGCAGUGUACCCGCGGCAAGACGGAAAGACCCCGUGAACCUUUACUAUAGCUUGACACUGAACACUGGUCCUUGAUGUGUAGGAUAGGUGGGAGGCUUUGAAGCGUGGACGCCAGUCUGCGUGGAGCCAACCUUGAAAUACCACCCUUUAAUGGCUGGUGUUCUAACGUAGACCCGUAAUCCGGGUUGCGGACAGUGUCUGGUGGGUAGUUUGACUGGGGCGGUCUCCUCCCAAAGAGUAACGGAGGAGCACGAAGGUUGGCUAAUCCUGGUCGGACAUCAGGAGGUUAGUGCAAUGGCAUAAGCCAGCUUGACUGCGAGCGUGACGGCGCGAGCAGGUGCGAAAGCAGGUCAUAGUGAUCCGGUGGUUCUGAAUGGAAGGGCCAUCGCUCAACGGAUAAAAGGUACUCCGGGGAUAACAGGCUGAUACCGCCCAAGAGUUCAUAUCGACGGCGGUGUUUGGCACCUCGAUGUCGGCUCAUCACAUCCUGGGGCUGAAGUAGGUCCCAAGGGUAUGGCUGUUCGCCAUUUAAAGUGGUACGCGAGCUGGGUUUAGAACGUCGUGAGACAGUUCGGUCCCUAUCUGCCGUGGGCGCUGGAGAAUUGAGGGGGGCUGCUCCUAGUACGAGAGGACCGGAGUGGACGCAUCACUGGUGUUCGGGUUGUCAUGCCAAUGGCACUGCCCGGUAGCUAAAUGCGGAA
rnacentral:rRNA from 1 species